rnacentral:rRNA from 1 species
UACGUAGGGUGCGAGCGUUGUCCGGAAUUAUUGGGCGUAAAGAGCUCGUAGGCGGUGUGUCACGUCGUUCGUGAAAACCUGCAGCUUAACUGUGGGCGUGCGGUCGAUACGGGCAUCACUGGAGUUCGGCAGGGGAGACUGGAAUUCCUGGUGUAGCGGUGAAAUGCGCAGAUAUCAGGAGGAACACCGGUGGCGAAGGCGGGUCUCUGGGCCGAUAUUGACGCUGAGGAGCGAAAGCGUGGGGAGCAAACAGG